CAGUAGCCGCGGUAAUACAGAGGGUGCAAGCGUUAAUCGGAAUUACUGGGCGUAAAGCGCGCGUAGGUGGUUUGUUAAGUCGGAUGUGAAAUCCCCGGGCUCAACCUGGGAACUGCAUCCGAAACUGGCAAGCUAGAGUAUGGUAGAGGGUAGUGGAAUUUCCUGUGUAGCGGUGAAAUGCGUAGAUAUAGGAAGGAACACCAGUGGCGAAGGCGACUACCUGGACUGAUACUGACACUGAGGUGCGAAAGCGUGGGGAGCAAACAGGAUUAGAUACCCGCGUAGUCCCUGUCUCUUAUAC
rnacentral:rRNA from 1 species